GCCGGGCGCAGUGGCGCACAUCUGUAAUCCCAGCAGCUCAGGAGGCUGAGGCAGGAGGAUCUCGAGUUCAAAGCCAGUGAGGUGCUAAGCAACUCAGUGAGACCCUGUCUCUA
rnacentral:sRNA from 1 species